rnacentral:misc_RNA from 1 species
UACGGAGGGAGCUAGCGUUGUUCGGAAUUACUGGGCGUAAAGCGCACGUAGGCGGCGCCGCAAGUCAGGGGUGAAAUCCCGGGGCUCAACCCCGGAACUGCCCUUGAAACUGCAGUGCUAGAAUCCUGGAGAGGCGAGUGGAAUUCCGAGUGUAGAGGUGAAAUUCGUAGAUAUUCGGAAGAACACCAGUGGCGAAGGCGACUCGCUGGACAGGUAUUGACGCUGAGGUGCGAAAGCGUGGGGAGCAAACAGG